UUUAGAUCUGAUGCAUGUUGAAAAGGUGUCUUGUCUUUAGGUUCGCUGGUGGGCCCCCCAGAACGUCCUGUAAUGACAAGUGGACACAACCACAUACACCUCCACAAUGUAUUUAACACAUUUUAAAUGUCAAUUCAGCAAUGCAUUAAUUUCUUAAUGUUUUCUCAGUCUACCCAAUAUUCCUUAGACUGCACAACCUAUUACUCUACUGUAGCCUAUUGCAUUUUUUUUUUUUUUUACGACUGUAGACUUACAAUACCCAUAACUGUUUAUAACUCACUUAACAAAAAUAUUUUACCUUGAACAUAACUAUUUCAACUCUCACUAAUAUUACUUAAUAUGAAGGAUACAGAUUAGCUCACUGGUCUAAGUGUGGGCUCACCCAGGGUGUCAUAUGUGUAUAGAUUCCUAGGUCGCCUGGUUCUGGCAGAAGUUCUCUUCAUAAGUUCUAAUGUCACGUCACAAUCUUCAUGCCUCAUAGGUUCUGAUGCCUCAUCACUAUCUUCAUGCUCGGCUUCUCCAAUGAAUCCUUCCUCCAAUUCCUGCUCCCCUUGAAGAUCUCCCAGCACUUCUUCAUCGGAUUUCUCUGAGUCAGGUAGGUUUACGGAUUCGUCACCAAUUUCUUCGAUGUCAAGUUCCUUUUCAGGUUUCCUGUUUCUCUCCUCUCUUCCAGGGUGAAAUUCUGCCGCACAUGGAUCUAAUUCUGUUCCUGUUCUCCGUAUUGGAAUCCACAAGUCAACCUCCUCGUCACUGGAACUGUCAGUGUUUCCAUGAUGCUGAUAAAACCCUCUGCCUGAGAUCCAUGGCUCGAACUAAGAACUGGAUCGGCGUUUCUUUGGGUUCUUGAACUGCACGUGUGAGUAACUUCUCAAACUGACACCUGGGAUGAUGGCUUGAAUGACUGCCUCAACAAUUUCUCCCUCAUCAUAACCCUUUUUGCAGGCCCUGUGAAUCUGUCUGUCCAGGCUGGUGAAGUUUAAUUUGUCCCUCUGGCCCGGCUCACCUAUUUGCCCAA